CUCCACUAAUACCCCUCAUCUCCACCAUAGAGAAAUCAUCGCCGGAACAUCAUCCUAAUCCCCCAACCGAAGACACUCAUUGAUGUCUCGCUUCCACAGUAACAACACCUAAAAAGCUCGUGCUUCCGCAACUCUCCGCCGUCACUCAUACACCACCAAUCCGAUGUUAACAACGAAACUGUUUUUAAUCUUGCCUUUACAUUACUGGAUUGUUGUCGUUUGAUUUUGUUACCAGAUUGUUGUUGCUUGAUUUUUGCAGCUCAUUACC
rnacentral:lncRNA from 1 species